rfam:Salmo salar isolate Sally breed double haploid chromosome ssa21, whole genome shotgun sequence.
AGCAUUCACUACUGUAAGUUGCUCUGGAUAAGAGUGUCUGCUAAAUGACUAAAA